AGUGGGGAAUAUUGCACAAUGGAGGAAACUCUGAUGCAGCGACGUCGCGUGAACGAUGAAGGUCUUCGGAUCGUAAAGUUCUGUCCUAGGGGAAGAUAGUGACGGUACCUUAGGAGGAAGCCCCGGCUAACUACGUGCCAGCAGCCGCGGUAACACGUAGGGGGCGAGCGUUGUCCGGAAUUACUGGGUGUAAAGGGUGCGUAGGCGGCCUUGCAAGUCAGAUGUGAAAGAUCAUGGCUUAACUGUGGUAAGCAUUUGAAACUGUAAGGCUUGAGUGCAGGAGAGGAGAGUGGAAUUCCUAGUGUAGCGGUGAAAUGCGUAGAUAUUAGGAAGAAUAUCAGUGGCGAAGGCGACUCUCUAGACUGCAACUGACGCUGAGGCACGAAAGCGUGGGGAGCAAACAGGAUUAGAUACCCUGGUAGUCCACGCUGUAAACGAUGAGUGCUAGGUGUCGGGGGUCAUACCUCGGUGCCGCAGUUAACGCAUUAAGCAC
rnacentral:rRNA from 1 species